UUUAAGUCAGGACUUCUAUCGGGCAGUUACUUCCGCCUGCAGAGAGUGUCGAGUUCUCGCUGGUGCUCACUUCCCUGAAGUGGGCUACCACGACCCUCGGUCCCAGCCCAAGCCUUAUUUCUGCCUUGGAGGACAUUUGUUCUGUCCAGCUGCAGUGGUGUCGUUCUCAUUUCACGGAGGGGAAAACUGAAGGUGUGGUGGAUAAAGUGGUUGACCUGCUAAAGGUCUUCAGCUAGUUGUGUAGUCAGAACUCAGUACAAUCGGAACUAAUUCUGAUUCCUGUCUCUAACCUGUCCUGUCCACUUCAUGUGGUGUUAGUCUCCUUUUCUCAGUUUUUCUGCUACUGCCUUAGUUUAAGGGUGACAUUACACUAACAGUGUCAUCCAUUCAGUAUUUAUUGAGGGUGUGCUAAGUGCCAGGCAUUGUGCUGCAUGCUGGGGCACGGUAUUGAAUGGGGCAGACACAACCCUACCCUUACGGAGUUUAUAAUCUAAUAGAGAAGACAUACUAAUUACAUAACACAAAUGAGAAUAAAAUUUAAAACUGUAGUAAAUAGAAAAAAUAGGGUGCUACAAAAGAGAAUGGAGGGAACUAUAAAUUAGAUUGGGAAAUUAAGGAAAGGAAGGAAUGCUUGAUUUGAGACCUGAAAGCUGAGAAAAAUGAAGCUUUGUAACCGCCAAAGUGGAGUGAUCCAGGAGGAGGGAACAUCAAGUGCAAAGGCCCUGGGAUGGGCUAGGGCUUCCUCAGCUACUGCGUUUGGCUUCUAGAAUCCCUCCUUAUUAUGGACUAAUGACUUCUGUCAUCCAGUGAAGAUUAAUGAAACCAGUGCUUCAUAACCACCUCCUCCAUCCUGACCCUUUGGGGUGUGCCAAGGGACAGCUGCAAAACCAGUGAGUAAUAAUUCCUUGGAAACAUGCUGUAUCCAGCACUUUUAUGUGAUAAUCGGAUUUUUAUUUUGAAAUCCUGUGUGCAAAAUGAAAACCCAAAUGAGCAUCUGCUACAUAUGAUUAGAGGCAGUGUGGUUCUGGGGAAAGAGGACUGGUCUCAGGGUCACCCUGGACCUGUGACUAACAGGCUAUAAGACCUUGGACAAGGUGCUCAGUGCCUCUGGGCCCCAGUUUUCUCAUAAGUAAAACAAAAACAUUAGACUCUAAGCUUCUUCCUAAGGUAAUGUGAAUGCUUAAAAAAUGGCUGGUCACAUCUGCAAUCAAACCACAUUAAGUACCUUUCAAGUGAUCAUAUGCUUGAAUCUGGCCUAUUUUCAUUGUUUAGUUUUUCUAACACCUUUCACUUAACCCUUGCAUCGCUAGUGCCUUCCUCAUUUGCAAGGUCUUUACUGUUUUUUGGCUGCUGCUUCAGAUUCCACUAAGUCAUGUUAGAUUUCAGCCAUUGAAUCACCUACUUUUUUUUGCCCUGCGUGGAGUCUUUUUAACCCCCAGCAGUCUCUUUUCCUUGACAAAACACAGAAGUCUUAGUCUCCCUCCCCUUCCAUCCCUCCCACUCUUCUUCCCUGCAAAGACAAACCUGAAAAAUCAGGGGGUUCUAUUCUGGUAGUUAUCACUCUCACCACUAGAUGGCACAUGUGUGCAAGUCAUCAGUCUUUGCACAAAAACUUUAAUUUUAUUAUGCUUUUGUACUCCAGUCCACAAAAGCUUUCAGAUGAGUGAUAAAAGCACAAAUAUACAAAAGGAUAAAAUGGAAAGUUGAGAUAGUUGGAGAAAAUAGAGAACAAGUGGAAAAAAUAACUCCAGGAUGACGUUAGAUCAAGCAGAUGGAUGCGAGCACACGGUUGGUUCUGAGCUUCUAAACAGCCAGAGGAAAGAGGGAAACAUGAAUGGCAAUAAAAUUCCAGGUUUUAUAGGAGGAAAACAAAGUCAUUAUUCAGGAGAAACACAACUUUUCCUGAUCCUGAGACCAGAGAGAUGUUUUUCCUGUGGGUCUUCAGAGAGGACACUGACUGAGCAGUGAAACAAACACCAGUGACUUAAUUGGAGCUGUUUCUAUGAAGUCCUUCGAUGCAGGCCUGUGGCAUGAUGCUAAACUGCAACCGAGGAAAAGUGGGUUUAUGGGGCUCAAACACUGGGGUUCCAGGACAGUAAAUUCACUACCGCGUGCCUUUGUAUACAGUCGUCCCUGCUUAUCUGUGGAGGAUAUGUUCCAAGACCGCCAGUGGAUGCCUGACACUGCAGAUAGUACCAAACCCUAUAUAGACCAUGUUUCUCCCUAUACCUGCAUAACUGUGAUAAAGUUUAAUUUAUAAAUUAGGCACUGCAAGAGAUCAGCAACAAUAAUAAAGUGGAACAAUUAUAACAAUAUACUGUAAUAAAA